ACCAGCUCCUUCAGCAGCCCAGAAAAGAAAAGGAGCUUGAGGGCUGGUUUGGAACAAUGGAUAAUGUGGACAACUAAAGACUCAAGCUAAAGUCUUCCUGGCUGAGAGAGGUCUGGUGACCUUCAUAACAGCAGAGAAUAGCAGACGGUGAGAGCAGACCAGCGUGCGUGGCUCUGCUGCUGCAUCAAAGGCUGCCUUCAUCAAAAGAGACGCAGAGCCAUUUGCAAGGAAGAAAAGAAAAAAAAAUCACGUUCCUGGGAAGCCAAAAUGCAGAUCUGGGUCCAUUGAGCUCUGACAUACCCCAAGAAAUGAAAGCUGGACUUAAAAAGGCUGAAAUGAAUCAGGUAAGUGAUAACGCAUUUCCGACACACAAUUUCAUUGCAGCUCCAGCGAAGGGUACAGUCGCUGCAGCCAGCCCCUGAGCUGGCAGCCUGUCAGCAUCGGCU